CCAGAAGAGGAGCGAUAACUAGGUAGGUAGUAUUUGGAAUCACACUCCAGUAAAUGCUAUUGAGGGAGAUUAUCGCCGAGGGCAUUAAUAUGGUGAAUAUUAUUGCCCGGUCACUAAGGCUGAAUCCUUAGGGCUGUCACCGGUAGUACUUACUUUUUAUUACUUAAUGAGUAGGUCUAAAAUAAGGUGGAGAGCUUCUGGC
rnacentral:ncRNA from 1 species